AUUUGUUUCAUAUCGAAUUUCAGCAACAAUGGCCGCUACAAAGAAAAUACUUUUGAUCUGCAAUACGAUGUCUCUCCUAAUAGCGGUGUUGGGGAUGUUACUGCCUCUCGCAGAAGCAAGAAAUGUCGCUUUAAUGAAACGCUCCCCACUGUAUUCCGUGCCUCAGCCCACCGUAGAUCUUAUUGUACGAUUGGAACCAGUGUUGAGAACUCUUUUAGGUAUCUUAUCCCCAGUAGUAGGAUAAGUCAAAACCACAACAUCAAAUUAUUCCUACUCUUGAAACUAUCCGCUGUUCCCCAAACGAGUUUAUGUGUAUGCUAUCUACUAAAACCUAAUGUCAGGUUUACAUUAAAUUGAAAAUUAUGAAAUCAAAAUAUCAGCUCUUCAGUAUAUGUGGCGCCUAUAAAAGGUUUAAAGCCUCUCAUUUGAAAUACAUAUCUCGAUCCACAAAAAAGCAGACGCUGAAACAAGGAAACUGUUUAUUUACAGCAUUUACUUUUGACAAUAAUCGAUCAACGAUCUCAUUACGCUACCAGGAGUCAUGUUAAUAGAUUUCAUAGUCAAACACUUGGUUCUUCCCACGAUCUAUAUGUACGAAAAUAUAUAUACAUAUACAUAUACACAAGAAUUUACCACUUGAAAGCACGAAUGGAAGGGGUGUCACGAAGCAGUUUUAUUAGACAUGAAAAACGUGUGCAAGUAAAAUUAGAAUAGGUUUCCCCAAGUCAAUAGAGGCGAUAUAAAUAUCGGAUUUCGCCGUUUUAAAUGCAUUCAGGGUUUUAUUUUCACACUUCUAUCUCCAGUAAGAAUGGCCACCCGGAAGAAAGUUUUCAUAAUUUGUGUCGCGUUACCGCUUAUAAUAGGGGCAUUGAGCAUGUUGUUGCCCGGAGCUGAAGCUCGAGAUGUGGCUCUAGUGAAGCGUUCACAACUUUCCCAACCAACCAUACAGCUUGUAGUUCGACUGGUACCGGUAUUGAGAACACUUUUGGGGAUCUUAUCUCCAAUAGUAGGUUGAAUAAAACGUACAGAACCAAUAUUUCCGAAUUAAAAAGCUCCACUUAAUAAUUUCUGAAAAAUUAAUCGAUGAAUUGAAACAAAGUUCCUUGAAAUAAAAAGUGAAAUGCAUUGACAAACUUAA